rnacentral:rRNA from 1 species
CAGUAGCCGCGGUAAUACAGAGGGUGCGAGCGUUAAUCGGAUUUACUGGGCGUAAAGCGUGCGUAGGCGGCUUUUUAAGUCGGAUGUGAAAUCCCUGAGCUUAACUUAGGAAUUGCAUUCGAUACUGGGAAGCUAGAGUAUGGGAGAGGAUGGUAGAAUUCCAGGUGUAGCGGUGAAAUGCGUAGAGAUCUGGAGGAAUACCGAUGGCGAAGGCAGCCAUCUGGCCUAACACUGACGCUGAGGUACGAAAGCAUGGGGAGCAAACAGGAUUAGAUACCCCAGUAGUCCCUGUCUCUUAUAC